CUCAGACUGGCUUCUUAUCCAGCCCCCUUGCCUCCCUGAAGCAGCUCUCCUGAAGGCCAACCAUGUCUUCUUCAAGGCUCCAGUUCCCUACGGAUGUGCCUCCUCACUCUUUGAAACUGAAACCAGAGAACCAAGUCAUGCGGAGGACCAGCUGCAACCACAAUGGAUCGGCCCUUCUGAGGUGCUGCUGGCCAGCCACCCUUCUGUUCUUAACCAGUGUUGAGACUUGGAUUCACCAGACUUGAGUAAAACCAGUCCCUUUGGGAUCCCUCCAGGGAAAACAGUCAUGGUCUUGUGAACCUUGGGAGGGCCUUAAGUUAGCAUUCAAAGCCCAGACAAAGACGCUAGAUAAGAAAUCAUAAAGUGAACAUGCGGCUUUCAGGAACUUUCUCUUGGCUUCCCCAAGGGAUCAACUCCAUAUUCUUUGGUAUUAUCUAAAUUUGGGUUAUCUAUGUAAUUUAUUAUCUUAGUCAAUGUGGUGUAAAAUGUUGCUCUAAAACCAAAAUAAAAGUACCCCUGACUGAUUCCAACCACAGGGGCAACAUUUCCAAGCCUCUUCAUGAUCCCACAACAUCCCUCCUCAGCAUGAAGCAGCCAGAAAGAUCGAUGACCAGAUUCCCCAUGACUGAGGAAUUGAUCUAUAGAAAAGGGGGACUGAAGUCAUCCCUGUUGUCCCAUAGAACUAACAUUUACAGUUGUUUGAAUAAACAUAGAAACUGACCCUCCCUAGCCUUAAAACUUGAAACUUACAUUUGUCUCAUUUGAGUUCCUUCCUCAGGAAAUCUACUCUCAGGCAAGAAACUAAAACUCACCGGAUCAUUUCAUCUGAACAACAAUAUUCCAGACCACUCAUCAAUCAUGAUUGCUUCCUUACCUCCAUGAAUUCCUGCUUUCCCACCUCCCUGCUUCCCUGCUAUAUACACCUCCCGAUUUUAGUCGGUCAAGGAGAUGGCUUUGAGACCUUAUCUCCCAUUCUCCUUGGCUGCAGCACCUGAUUAAAGCCCGCUUCCCUGUCAGUACUCAUUGCCUCAGUGAUUGGGAUUCCGUCCGUGCAGCAAGCAACAGGACCUAGACUGAACCCCUGGCAUUUUGGUAACAUCGAGACAGAGCCUCUAUUAAAUGGAGCUCCUGAGUAACUAGGAUGGACACAGUGCCCCUGAUGAACCACAAUGAACAUGAAGCAUGAGUUACAAAUAAGCAGCAUUGUUUCAAGUCACCAAGAUGUUCAUGUAGCUUAUUAUUGUAGCAUAAGCUAAUCUAUGUUUACUGAUACAACAUCUCAAUUUGUUUCUUUCUCUGAAGCGCAAGUUCUACUUCUCCUGCUGCCGUCAACAUUUCUAUAUGAUUUUACUUAUAGAAGUACAAGCUCAACAUAUCUAUUUCUAUAUUCAUUAUUUUUCCUCCCUAACCCAGAAGCAAAAGUCUCUUCCUGAUUUUUUUUAUUUUGGUCAAUGGUACGAACACUCUUCUAAAAACCUAAACUUCAUUCAAUCACUUACAGUCAUGUGCUGCAUAAUGAUGUUUUGGUCAUGACAGACCACAAAUACGAUGGUGGUCCCAUAAAAUUAUAAUGGAGCAUAUGCAGAAGCCUGAUAUGUGGCAUUUGAUACUGGCAUUGCAGAUUAAGUAGGGGAAAUUAUUGAUAUUCAGCAAUGCUGCUGGGAAAUUUGUUUUUCAUAUAUAUAUAUAUACAUAUAUAUAUACACACAUAUACAUAUAUAUAUAUACACACACACACACACAUAUGAUCUAGGUUUCUGUAAGUACACUCUGUGAUGUGUGCAGUACUGCAAAAUCGCCUAAUGAUGCAUUUCUCAGAAUGUAUCUCCAUUGUUAAGUGAUGCAUGACUAUUUUACAUUUUGUCCCCACUUUAUUUGCAACUCUGCCUUAUGGUUCCCACAGGUGCCUCCUUGAUUCUUGCUUUGGUCCCUCAAUUCUUGCACUAUUAUACGUCUUGAGUAAUUUUGCUGCUUUUAUUCUCUUCCCUUUUAUGAUCAAUUAUCCUUCCUUUGUCAUUAGCUAUUCAUGAAUGUGAUAAAAGUAAAUAUCUAGAUUAUAUUAUGCCUUUGCUCAAAACUCCGAUGUGUCCCCAUCAUCUACUGAAUAAACUCUCAAUCCUUGAUCUGGCAUUUAAGACCCUGCAUUCUUUCACCUCUAGUCUCAUCUCCCCUACUCCUUUGCAUGGAUCUUACAUGAGCACAACACCACAUAGCCCACCAUAAAUGGGAUAUAACCUGUGAUGGUUAAUUUUAUGUGUCAAUGUGACUGGGACAGAGGAUGCCCAGAUAUCUGGUUAAACUUUUUUGUUUUUUCUUUUUUUGAGAUGGAAUCUUCCUCUGUCACCCAGGCUGGAGUGCAAUGGCGUGAUCUCCACUCACUGCAACCUCCACUUCCCAGACUCAAGUGAUUCUCCUGCCUCAGCCUCCAAAGUAGCUGGAAUUACAGGCACGUGCCACCACACCCAGCUAAUUUUUGUAUUCUUAGUAGAGAUGGGGUUUUACCGUGUUAGCCAAACUGGUCUUGAAAUCCUGACCUCAAGUGAUCCUCUUGCCUCUGCCUCCUAAAGUGCUGAGAUUAUAGGUGUGAGCCACCACGCCUGCCCUGGUUAAACAUUAUUUCUGGAUGUGUCUGUAAGGAUGUUUCUGGAAGAGAUUUGUUUGAGUUGGUGAGCUGAGUAAAGUGAAUUGCCUUCCCCCAGUGUUAGGAUCAUUCAACCUUUGAGGGCUCUGAACAAAAAGUCAGAGGAAGAUGAAUUCUUUCUCUCUGCCCAACUACUUAAGCUAGGUCAUUGGUCUUCUCUUGCUCUUAGAUGGAGGAUUACACCAACAGCUCCCCAGGUUCUUAGGCCUGCAAGCUUGGACCGGAAUUUCCUUUACCAACAUUCCUGGGUCUCCAGCUUGCACACAGCAGAUUGUGAGACUUUUCUACUUUCAUAGUCAUAUGAGCCAAUUCCUUAUAAAAAAUCAUUCUAUAUAUAUAGAAUGAGUAUAUACUCUGAUAUGGUUUGGCUCUGUCCCCACCCAAAUCUCAUCUUGAAUUGAAGCUCCCAUAAUUCCCACAUGUUGUGGGAGGGACCUGCUGGGAGAUAAUUGAAUCAUGGGAGCAGUUUCCCCCAUACUGUUCCUGUGGUAGUGAAUAAGUCAUGACAUCUGAUGGUUUUAUAAGCGGUUUCCUCUUUCACUUGACUCUCAUUCUCUCUUUGCCUGCUGCCAUGUAAGAUAUUUCUAUGCUCUUCCUUUGUCUUCUGCCAUGAUUGUGAGACCUCCCCAGCAACGUAGAACUGUGAAUCCAUUAAACCUCUUUCCUUUAUAAAUUACCCAGUCUCGGGUAUGUCUUUAUUAGCAGUAUAAGAACAGAUGAAUACAUACUCUAUUGGUUCUGUUUCACUGGAGAACCCUGACUAAUACAUACCCUGAGCUUAUUUGCUCAGUGCUCUUAGAAUUAAUUUUCUGUCUUUGAAAUCCUUUUCUUCCCACAUACUCAUGUCAAAACCCAAGUUCACUUUUAAAACUCAGCUGAGAUGCCACUUUCUUCAUAGGAACGUCUCUGAUCCCUCCAACCAAAAGUGACUCCCCUCUCCUGGGACCCCUAAGGCACCUGCUCUGCUCUAUUUCUUGUUGUUGCAGUAAUUUCUCCAGAAGUCUUAUCUCCCCUACUGGACAGUGAGUUUUUUGCAUGAAGAAUGAAGUUUUUUACAUGAAGAAUACAAUGGCUAACCUUCGUGUUUUUCCAUAAACAUUAGUUGAGUAAAGAAGCACCAGGACAUGACCUCAAUUCACAGAAAAGUUGUGUGGCUAAGCAAAGAUAAUUCAUAUGAGAAUUUCACAUUUUGAGAAAACAGAGGGC
rnacentral:lncRNA from 1 species